GAUGAACGCUGGCGGCGUGCCUAAUACAUGCAAGUCGAGCGAACGGACGAGAAGCUUGCUUCUCUGAUGUUAGCGGCGGACGGGUGAGUAACACGUGGAUAACCUACCUAUAAGACUGGGAUAACUUCGGGAAACCGGAGCUAAUACCGGAUAAUAUUUUGAACCGCAUGGUUCAAAAGUGAAAGACGGUCUUGCUGUCACUUAUAGAUGGAUCCGCGCUGCAUUAGCUAGUUGGUAAGGUAACGGCUUACCAAGGCAACGAUGAAUAGCCGACCUGAGAGGACGACCGGCCACACUGGAACUGAGACACGGCCCAGACUCCUACGGGAGGCAGCAGUAGGGAAUCUUGGGCAAUGGGCGAAAGCCUGACGGAGCAACGCCGCGUGUGUGAUGAAGGUCUUCGGAUCGUAAAGCUCUGUUAUUAGGGAAGAAAACAUGUGUAAGUAACUAUGCACGUCUUGACGGUACCUAAUCAGAAAGCCACGGCUAACUACGUG
rnacentral:rRNA from 1 species